UACGUAGGUGACAAGCGUUGUCCGGAUUUACUGGGCGUAAAGAGCGCGCAGGCGGUCGUUCAAGUCGAGUGUGAAAGCCCCCCGGCUCAACUGGGGAGGGGUCACUCGAUACUGAUCGACUCGAAGGCAGGAGAGGGAAGCGGAAUUCCCGGUGUAGUGGUGAAAUGCGUAGAUAUCGGGAGGAACACCAGUGGCGAAGGCGG
rnacentral:rRNA from 1 species